UGGGGAAUAUUGGACAAUGGGCGCAAGCCUGAUCCAGCCAUGCCGCGUGAGUGAUAAAGGCCCUAGGGUUGUAAAGCUCUUUUGUGCGGGAAGAUAAUGACGGUACCGCAAGAAUAAGCCCCGGCUAACUUCGUGCCAGCAGCCGCGGUAAUACGAAGGGGGCUAGCGUUGCUCGGAAUCACUGGGCGUAAAGGGUGCGUAGGCGGGUCUUUAAGUCAGGGGUGAAAUCCUGGAGCUCAACUCCAGAACUGCCUUUGAUACUGAGGAUCUUGAGUUCGGGAGAGNUGAGUGGAACUGCGAGUGUAGAGGUGAAAUUCGUAGAUAUUCGCAAGAACACCAGUGGCGAAGGCGGCUCACUGGCCCGAUACUGACGCUGAGGCACGAAAGCGUGGGGAGCAAACA
rnacentral:rRNA from 1 species